GAUGAACGCUGGCGGCGUGCCUAACACAUGCAAGUCGAGCGAUUUACUUCGGUAAAGAGCGGCGGACGGGUGAGUAACGCGUGGGUAACCUGCCCUGUACACACGGAUAACAUACCGAAAGGUAUGCUAAUACGAGAUAAUAUGCUUUUAUCGCAUGGUAGAAGUAUCAAAGCUUUUGCGGUAUAGGAUGGACCCGCGUCUGAUUAGCUAGUUGGUGAGGUAACGGCUCACCAAGGCGACGAUCAGUAGCCGACCUGAGAGGGUGAUCGGCCACAUUGGAACUGAGACACGGUCCAGACUCCUACGGGAGGCAGCAGUGGGGAAUAUUGCACAAUGGGCGAAAGCCUGAUGCAGCAACGCCGCGUGAGCGAUGAAGGCCUUCGGGUCGUAAAGCUCUGUCCUCAGGGAAGAUAAUGACGGUACUUGAGGAGGAAGCCCCGGCUAACUACGUGCCAGCAGCCGCCGUAAGAC
rnacentral:rRNA from 1 species